rnacentral:lncRNA from 1 species
UUAUUAACACUAGGUUAGAUGCCACUCGAUCUACUUGAUAUCCUAUUUAUCAUAUCGAGUCCAUAUGCACAUGCAUCUUAUCUAACAUGCUCACAUAAUGGUACGUGCACCUAGCAUACAUUCCAAUGCACACAUACAUAUCAUUUGCAUUAUCACUAGCAUAUAUUCUAUAUCAUAUCAUUUUACAUGGAUCUACUUAGCAUUUGCAUCAUAUUAUUAACAUGCAUUAGCUACAUGAAUCAACCACAUGCUAUUUUACAUUUAUGUGCAUCAUCAUGAAUUCUUAAUCAUCUUAGACAUAAAGGGCGACCAAGUCGCUUCGGUAAACACAACCCACCUUAAUUCGCGUUCCGAUUGUUUGUCGACACUUGCAAUCGGCCUCCCGCGGCACUCGGCACCCGUUUGGGCCCGAUCUCACAAUUGCUCUCC